rnacentral:tRNA from 1 species
GGAGUUGUAGCUCAGUGGCAGAGUACUCACCUAGCAAGUGUGAGGCACUGGGUUCUAUCCUCAGCACCACAA